UACGUAGGGGGCUAGCGUUGUCCGGAAUCACUGGGCUUAAAGCGUGUGUAGGCGGGUCGUUAAGUGCCUUGUGAAAUCCCAUGGCUCAACCAUGGAACUGCUGGGCAUACUGGCGAUCUUGUGCCACCUAGGGGCGAGCGGAACAGAUGGUGGAGCGGUGAAAUGCGUAGAUAUCAUCUGGAACGCCAAUGGUGAAAACAGCUCGCUGGGAAUGAUCUGACACUGAGACGCGAAAGCCAGGGGAGCGAACGGG
rnacentral:rRNA from 1 species